CUCUCUCGCUUCAGUAUCUUGGAUUCUUUUCUUGGUCGCUCUCUCGAACUCAUCAGUCAUGGAGGCAUCAUUGAGGAUCUUUAACUCAUCCACUCUCAAUCGCCACUUCUCUCAUUCGUUUCUCUUCAGACAUUCUCUGAGAUUCCCUCCAAGCACUUCUUCGUCACUAUCAAACCUUUCACGCAAUACUAAUGGACAUCUACCUGCAAUCACCUUCCUUCCGAACAAUAUCGACAAUAUCAGAAAUCGCUCUGUAUCGUUACGCAUUCGAUCUUCUUCAUCCACCGGCUUUCCGUCUUCGUUCCCUUCUCCUAAUUUGAAAUCGCUAGGGUUUUUCCUUUCUCUAGCUUCAUCUCAGUUUUCUAAUACUCGUGCUUCUGAUGAAUGUUCCGAUCGAGUCGUAUCUGAUCCAACGAAAAACGUUUUCGCUUGGAAUCGAGCUCCUGAAGAAGUUACCAGCGCCGAUUUUGGCUUUGUCCGAGACCGAGGGCCUGUUUUCACGGUGGUGUUGUUAGGCUGGCUUGGAGCUGAGCAGAAGCAUUUGAAGAGAUAUGUGGAGCUGUAUAAUUCCAGAGGCAUCCAUGCGUUGACAUUUGUCGUUCCGGUGCGAGAGGUGCUAGGAUUUGAUUUGGGGAGGAGAGUUGAACAGCGGAUCUCGGCGUUGGCGCAGGAGAUCAUUUCUUGGUUGUCGGAGCGCGUAGAAGAUGGAAGGGAGCGGUGCUUGCUUUUCCACACUUUCAGCAAUACCGGUUGGCUGGCCUAUGGUGCCAUACUCAAGAAGUUGCAGUGUAGGGGUCACCUAAUUGAGAAGAUUAAAGGAUGCGUGGUUGAUUCUGGUGGGGACCCAGAAAUAAACCCUCAGGUAUGGGCAGCAGGAUUUUCUGCUGCAAUACUGAAGAAGCGCAGCUCUUCAACAUCUCCUUCAGUUAAUGAUAUAGGACAAGAAUCAGAAAGUGAUAAGAGUGUAGCCAAGAUGCCAGAAAAGGAGCCCCCAUUUCUUGAGAUGGCCCUCCUUUCGGUCUUGGUGAAGUUCUUCUCUGUUAUUCUGAAGUUGCCAGAUGUAAAUCGGAGGCUUACUGAGAUCAUUUCCAUCCUCUCGAAGAACCAGCCUCCCUGUCCUCAGCUGUACCUGUACAGUACAGCUGAUAAGGUCAUUCCAUUUCAGCCUGUUGAGUCAUUUAUCCAGAGCCAGAGGAUGCUGGGAAGAAAUGUUUGGUCCUAUAAUUUUUGCUCGUCUCCUCAUGUGGACCAUUACCGGAACUUCCCUCAUAUAUACUCAGAAGUGCUUCAUAAAUUCUUGAAAGAGUGUGUUGCCGUGGUGUGCCAGACAUGAAAUUUUAUAUCGGAGUUGUGUGAAGCAGUUUGGAGGAACUGCUGGCAGUUCCUUGAAUUUGCUAAAACAACAUCAACGAGGUCUUGACAGGGCAAUUAUCUCUAGGGAAAAUGUCUAAUCUUGAGAACAUAUGGGAAAGAAACCAAUCUACUUAGUGCUUGCACUAAAACAUUAUGCACUGUUUUUGUGCCUGAGGCAUAUCCACAAUGCCGCCUCUAUGACACCUGAAGAGAAGAUGACAGGCUAUCUGAUGGAAGCUCAAUGCACCAUACCAAAUAUCUGAUGGACUUUUUAGACUUGUGGUGGUAAAGGCUACACAGUUGGACUGUGGGUUGGGAAUUCCUUCACAUCUUGUUAAUCUCAACACCCAGCGACAAGGGGAGCUUAACAGGUGAAAUGUCAAUCGAAAAGAAGUGGACCAAGAGAGGCUUAAUUUGAGUUUAUACUUUCUUUGUUAAUGUUUGUAAUUAUGACCAUUAUUUGGUAGCCUUUCAGUGGAAAAAUUUCUCCCUCAAAAAUGAAACUGUCCCCUUGAUUCUUGAAAGCCAAUGCAGUGCCUUACCAUUGGGAUAUUGGAUUUGAUGCUGAAAGCAAUGUAAUUUGUUGAGAAAGAGAAGGAAAACUGCUAAAACCU